ensembl:lncRNA
UUUAAUUCCUUCAACUGUUUGAUUGUGUUUUCCUGGAAUUCUUUCAGGGAUUUUUGUGAUUCCUCUCUGUAGGUUUCUAUUUGUUUAUUUAUGUUUUCCUGUGUUUCUCUAAGGGAGUUCUUCAUGUCUUUCUUGAAGUCCUCCAGCAUCAUGAUCAAAUAUGAUUUUGAAACUAGAUCUUGCUUUUCUGGUGUGUUUGGAUAUUCCGUGUUUGCUUUGGUGAGAGAAUUGGGCUCUGAUGAUGCCAUGUAGUCUUGUUUUCUGUUGCUUGUGUUCCUGAGCUUGCCUCUCACCAUCAGAUUAUCUCUAGUGUUACUUUGUUCUGCUAUUUCUGACAGUGGCUAGACUGUCCUAUAAGCCUUUGUUUCAGGAGUGCUGUAGACCUGUUUUCCGGUUUUCUUUCAGCCAGUUAUGGGAACGGAGAGUUCUGCUUUCGGGCGUGUUGUUUUUCCUCUCUACAGGUCUUCAGCUGUUCCUGUGGGCCUGUGUCCUGAGUUCACCAGGCAGGUUGCUAGGAGCAGGAAGGUUUGUCUUACCUGUAUUCCUGAGGCUCAAGUUUGCUCCUGGGGUGUUGCUUAUGAGCUCUCCCAGGUGGCAUCAUCCAGGAAGAUCUGCGCCGCCCUUUCCGUGCAUCAGGGUUCCAGAUGGCAUUUGAUGUUUUCCUCUGGAAUCAGUAAUGUGGGCAGAGUGUAGUCUCUUCUGGUUUCCCAGGCUUGUCUGCCUCUCUGAAGGUUUAGCUCUCCCUCCCAUGGGCUUUGGGUGCAGAGAACUGUUUAUCUGGUUGGUCCCUUCAGGUUCUGGAGAUGUCUCAGAUGCAGGGGACCUGUUGCUCCUGGCCCUUAUCUCCAGGAACCCAGAGGCAGUAUACAGUUUCCUCUUGGGCCAGUGAUGUGGGCAGGUGUGGGGAUUGUUGGUUGUCCCUUCUCCUCUGCAGUCUCAGGAGUGCCCCCCUGUCAGGGUGGUGAGCUUUCUCUCCCAUGGUGUUUGGGAGCAGUGAGCUGCUGUGGGCAGGAAUCCGAGGGUUUGGGAAUCCCACUAAAAACAGGAAGUGUCCCAGAACUUCUUUUAUUGUUGAGGAUAGUUUUCACUAUCCUUUUGUUUGUUUGUUUGUUUUUGUUUGUUUUUUGUAUUUUGUUUUUUGUUUUUUUUGUUAUUCCAAAUUAAUUUGUUCUUGCUAUCUCUAAGAAAAAUUGAUAUGGGGUUUUGAUGAGGAUUUCAUUGAAUCUGCAGAUUGCUUUUGGUAAAAUGGCCAUUUUUACUAUAUUAAUCGUGCCAAUUUAUGAGCAUGGGAGAUUUUUCCAUCUUCUGAGAUCUUAGUCAAUUUCUUUCUUCAGACACUUGAAAUUAUUGUCGUACAGUUUUUCACUUGCUUGGUUAAACACAUCAAGGUUCUUUAUAUUAUUUGGGACUUUUAUAAAGGGUGUCAAUUCCCUAAUUUUUUUCUCAGGUUGUUUAUCCUUUGAGUAGAGGAAGGCUAAUGAUUUCUAAGAGUUAAUUUUAUACCCAGCCACUUUGUAGAGUUUGUUUAUAAGGCUUAGUAGUUCUCUUGUGGAACUUUUGGGGUCACUUAAAUAUACUAUUAUAUCAUGCAAAUAGUGAUAUUUUGAUUUCUUCCUUUCCAAUUUGUAUCCGUUAGGUCUCCUUUUGUUGUUUGAUUGCUCUGGCUAAGAUUUUGAGUUCUAUAUUGAAUAAAUAUGGAGAUAAUGGAGAGCCCUGUCUAGUCCCUGAUUUUAAUAGAACUGCUUCAAGCUUCUGUCCAUUUAAUUUAUUUUUGGCUACUGGUUGGCCAUAUAUUGCUUUUAGUGUGUUUAAAUUUUGGCCUUGCAUUCUUGAUCUAUCUAAGAAUUUUAUCAUGAUUUUAUGUUGACUCAACAUCUAAUGAAAUGAUCAUGUGGAUUUUUUCUAUGAGUUUUUUACACAAUGGAUUACGUUGUUGGAUUUCAGUACAGUGAACCAUUCUUGCAUCACUGGGAUGAAGCCUACUUGAUCAUGAUGGAUGAUCAUUUUGAUAUGUUCUUGGAUUUGGUUUGUGCGAAUUUUAUUUAGCAUGUUUCUGUUGAUAUUCAUGAGGGAAAUUGCCCUGAAUUAAUCUCUUUGUUGGUUUUUGAGUGGUUUAGGUGUAAGCAUAAUUCUGGCUUCAAAGAAUGAAUUGGUUUGUGCUUUUUCUGUUUUUAUUUUGUGGAAUAGUUUGGACAGUAUUGGUAUGAGGUCUCCUAUAAAGGUCUGAUAGAAUUCUUCACCAAACCCAACUGGUCCUGGGCUUUUUUUGGUUGGGAGACUUUUAAUAACUGCUUCUAUUUCUUUAGGAGUUAUUGGACUGUUUAAAUGGUUUAUGUUAUCCUGAUUUAACUCUGUUACCUGGUAUAUGUCUAGAAAAUUGUCCAUUUCAUCUAGAUUUUCUAGUUUUGUUGAAUAUAGUCUUUUGAAGUUGGUCUGAUGAUUUUUUUAAUUUUCUCAGAUUCUAUUAUUAUGUCUCCCUUUUCAUUUCUGAUUUUGUUAAUUUGGCUACACUCUCUGUGCCCUGUGGUUAGUCUGGUUUAUCUAUCUUGUUGAUAUUCUCAAACAAUCAGAUCCUGGUUUUGUUUAUAGUUCUAUUUGUUUCCAUUAGGUUGAUUUCAACCCUGGGUUUGAUCGUUUUCUGCCUUAUACUCCUCUUGGGUGUAUUUGCUUUUUUUUUUGUUCUAGAGCUUUUAAGUGUGCUAUCAAGCUGCUAAUGUAUGCUCUCUCCAGAUUCUUUUUGGUGGCACUCAGAGCUAUGAGUUUUCCUCUUAGCCCUUUGCACAGUCAUCUCAAAAAUCUUGCGGUCUCCAAGGCAACUUCAAAUUUACAGCUUCUUUUUUUCAAUGAAUGGGAUCCAUAUAUGAUCUUCUGGAUCUUCCAAAGGGCAAACAUCACUUCUCCAACUUUUUCCUCCCUAGUACUCUAAGCUCAGGUUCAUCCACUUCACUCCUGCUGCUACUGAUCAUCUAUUGUACUGGUAUCUCCAAAAUACUGAAGUCUUCCUGAACAACUAGGCUUCACCAAGAGCAUCUCAUAGCUUCUCCUUAUGUAGGCAAGGCUCAAAUCCUUUGCAUGACCCCUUACAUGCUGGACAUCGACUGUAGCUGAGGCUGCACUUUCACUAAUGGCCUUCCAUAGACUCUCAAAGUGAGAAUGCUCACUCCCUCUUCAUGGCCCCAUCAUGGCUUUAAAACUAGCACCACCUAGUUGACUCUUAUACAUUACCAAGUACAGCUGCAGCACGAGGUACAAUCUUGGCUAUAUCUGGAACACAGCUUCUUUGUGUUCUUAGAAAACACAUCCCAGAAGAUUUCACUUCAGUGAUGCUGGUCUCUUCUUAAUCACCACAAAUUUCUUAGCUCCAGUUCACCAGCAUCAAUUUUCCACAUUGUACCUUUUAUUAUGGACUCUAAAGUCAGAGCCACAUGGCUGAAGAUGCCACGCUCUGCUGCCUGCUGGAGCUAGAACAUGCCCCCCCCCCCAUACAAACACCUUAUUCUAUUACCAGCUUUCUGUUUCCCAAUUCCCUC